ensembl:lncRNA
CCGUUGACACUGAGGGGGGCUUUCUGAGAAAUGGGUGUUGGCGGCUUGGGGAGGCCUCCUCUUGCGUCCCACCUGGUUCGGGCUUAAGAGACCUGAAAGCCGCCGAGCUGGGCUAGAUGCUCCUGUAGAUAAACUCGGACGCCACGUCCCGUCCUGGCUGCUUAUUUAGCGCGGUCUCUCCAGCUCAUAUUUUACCUAGCCAGGGGCAGUGAGUGGGAACCACGGAAAGAGGGGGCGGAGAACACCAACUCUUCGCUCGCAGACCCUGCAAGGCGGCUUUCGGCCCGAGACAUUUUCUCGGCAGCUUCCCUCCACGGCGGCCGCGGGACUCCGCUGACACGCACCACCCCGAACCCUUUCGCGGACAGCACCCCGGGGACUGGAGGGAUCCGGAAGGCUCCGCCAGCCCCUCGCUCGGGGCCAGAAGGGAGUACGGCCCAGCAGAUGGAAACGCGGCGCUGGCCUGUCCCUAAGUACCUCUGGGCCCCCACAAAGUCGGGCACCGAGGCCCCUGUAAAGGAAGGAAAAGGCGUCAUGAGCCCCGGAACCUGAGAACCCUCAGCCGAACCGGACUCUCGAGGAGCCUUAUAAAAUCCUUUUCUCGCACAAAAAUCUCACCAAGGGGUUUCCGGAAGACUUUGUUGAGGGAGGUUUCGGUAUUGAACUCCAGGCCUGCAGAGCGGCCUGUAAAUUUCCCCCAGCCCAGCCGCUGGCCAGAUCGCGAACAUCCAGGCAGGCACCCCAGGCCGAGUUGAUGAGCCUCUGCGCCCACCUCCGGCUUAGAGCUCCCGAGAUCCCACCUCUUCACCCCUCAUCCCGGGUUUGCACCUCGGCGCCGGGCGCACACUGAGUCGGCCCCCUCCGGGCGCGACCUAAAGCCCGGGGCUAGCCGCGGCCGGAUAGUCCCCGGGGAGUCGAAACCGCCGAGCGGGGAAACCCCUUCUCUCGUCCUUCCCCGAAAAGCCUGGCCGCGGCGUAGGCGCCGAGCGAGCGGGCAUCCGCUGACAGCCGGGCCUCACGUAAGGCCCACACGCGUCCCAUUAGUCAGCCUGAGUUCCCCUCGGGCGAGCCGUCUGGCGCGGCCCCAAGGCCGGGCGCGGGAGGGGACCGGGGUGCGGGGCCGCGGCGAGCUGGCAGCGGGGCGGGGGCGCGGGCUCUGCGGGGCCCGGCCGGGCUCGGUUCCGCGUUCCUGGGCCCGCGGGUAAGCUGAGCCGGCGGGGCAGGCCGCUCCCUGGCUGGCGCCGAGGCGCCGAACUGCGCUUCACGUGCCCGCCAUAUCAGCGGCGGCGGCGGCGAGGAGCGGGGGCUGGGAGGCGGGCCGCAGCUCCCGCGGGGUCUCCGGCCCCCGCCUCCCCCGCCCUGCCCGGGGCCGGGUCUGGACCACCCCGCAGCCCGCAGCCCCUAUCCCCGCGCCGGCCGAGAUCGGCGCUGCCAGACGCAGAGAGGUUCCUAGGGCGCCGUUCCGAAAGCUGCGCUGCGGCGGCAGCCAGAGGAGGGUGCUCCUCGCGGCCGCCCCGGGAACUUCCCAGCCGCCCCGCCGCCGCCGCCGCAGUCACCGGGACCGGAAGCCCUUGCGCCGCCCCGAGCGGCCUCCGCUGGCCCCCAGGGCUGUUCCAGACGAGGGCUAGUUGCGCGUCACCUUCGAUCCCUCCUGGUCUCAGGUGGCCGUCCUCGCCCUGGAGCAUCCCCAUUUAAACCCGGAGGACCCUACUCGCGGUCCAGCGAGACCUUUCUCUAUUUCCACCAUCAGCGCGGCUCCCCCCGCAGCUGGGACGGGAGGGGCGCGGAGCCGCCACUCCCGCCGGGCAGGAACACCUGCUCCCAGGCCCUGCAGCUGGGCGCGUGGUGCUGGGAGAGGCUGCCUACUGUUGUAUGCAGAGAUCGCGGAGAAAAUGGGGCUCCGAAGCUCAGGUCCAGGCGCAGCCGCGCCCCGGCCACCCCCAUCCCCCAUCCUUUCUGUGCAAUCAGGCCCGAAGUUCGGGGAACUGGGGUCUUCCUGAGGGUCGAAGGGCCGCCAACCGUGGGAUCCGGCUUCUGGCCUUAAGAGGUCGUUUGCAAGAUAGAUGGGGCAAAACCUGUUUUGGGAGCCAUCCCGGUGUCCGCCCCCGCUCUCCAAACCAGACACACUCAUCUCCCCUCGGCCCUCACUCUAGCCUCCAGCGGGGGACCAGAGUAGGUCAUGGCGGCACUGGUACGGGGUUCGGACUUUGGCACUCCGCGUGGAGAGGGCCGAUGGACCCUCCCCAUCUCCUCCGUGCCCGGAGGAGAUCGGGCAGCCGAGAUGACCUGCGCCGCUUGCCCUGCCUCACCCCUCCUCCCCCGUCCCGCCCUCCCCGGCGCUCCUGGCCCAGGGCCCGGCCGAGGAAGGCGUUGUUUUGCCAGCGGGAGCCGAGCGAGUGCGCAGAGAAAAGCCUCCCUGCUCUAAUGAGAGUGCACACAGCGCUGCGGCGAGGAGGAUGAUUACCCGGCGGGCGGGGGGGCGCGGGCCCGGGCCGCGGGCGGCGUGUGCGGCGGCCCCGCGGGCCCGGAGUCCCCGCCUGUCUGGCUGCUAAUCGCACGCUUUCUGCUGUUACGGAGGCAGGCGGGAGCCGGCGGCCGAGCCCAGCGCCGGCGACUCGGCGGGUGACACGGAAACAUGGCGCAGCGCCCCUCCCCCGCCCGCCC